UGAUCAGCCAUGCCGCGUGAGUGAAGAAGGCCUUCGGGUUGUAAAGCUCUUUCGGCCGGGAAGAAAUCGCGCCAGCUAAUACCUGGUGUGGAUGACGGUACCGGAAGAAGAAGCACCGGCUAACUACGUGCCAGCAGCCGCGG
rnacentral:rRNA from 1 species